AACUAAAAAUAGCUCAAAAUACAUUAUAUGAUAAUACUCUAAAAAUCUAAAAUAAAACAUUCACUAAAAUAAAAGUAUAGGCGAUAG
rnacentral:rRNA from 1 species